CUUUCUUUGCUGGCGACCGGCGCACGGGUGAGUAACACGUAUCCAACCUGCCCUUUACUCGGGGAUAGCCUUUCGAAAGAAAGAUUAAUACCCGAUAGUAUAAUGAUUCCGCAUGGUUUCAUUGUUAAAGGAUUCCGGUAAAGGAUGGGGAUGCGUUCCAUUAGGUUGUUGGUGAGGUAACGGCUCACCAAGCCUUCGAUGGAUAGGGGUUCUGAGAGGAAGGUCCCCCACAUUGGAACUGAGACACGGUCCAA
rnacentral:rRNA from 1 species